rnacentral:rRNA from 1 species
UACGUAGGGUGCAGCGUUGUCCGGAAUUAUUGGGCGUAAAGGGCUCGUAGGCGGUUUGUCGCGUCGGGAGUGAAAAACCUUGGGCUUAACUCAGGGCUUGCUUUCGAUACGGGGCAGACUAGAGGUAUGCAGGGGAGAACGGAAUUCCUGGUGUAGCGGUGAAAUGCGCAGAUAUCAGGAGGAACACCUGCGGCGAAGGCGGGUUGCUGGGCUGAUACUGACGCUGAGGCGCGAAAGCCAGGGGAGCGAACGGG